rnacentral:rRNA from 1 species
CAGCCGCCGCGGUAAUACAGAGGGUGCGAGCGUUAAUUGGAUUUACUGGGCGUAAAGCGUGCGUAGGCGGCUUCUUAAGUCGGAUGUGAAAUCCCUGAGCUUAACUUAGGAAUUGCAUUCGAUACUGGGAAGCUAGAGUAUGGGAGAGGAUGGUAGAAUUCCAGGUGUAGCGGUGAAAUGCGUAGAGAUCUGGAGGAAUACCGAUGGCGAAGGCAGCCAUCUGGCCUAAUACUGACGCUGAGGUACGAAAGCAUGGGGAGCAAACAGGAUUAGAUACCCCGGUAGUCCCUGUCUCUUAUAC